AACGCACCUUGCGCUCCUUGGUAUUCCGAGGAGCAUGCCUGUUUGAGUGUCUUGAAGUCAUCAACCCCUCCUUUGCUUUUUUGCGGGGCUGGGCUUGGAGUUUGAGGGCUUUGCUGCCGAAGGGCGGCUCCCUCCAAAUGCUUCGGUUGGGCCUGUGGGUCGAACUCGACUGGGCGUUGUACCAUCCUCGCUCGACCGAGAUGUUCCCCCUUUCUGCGCCUCGACCUCGACCGCCUGUGGAGCGGCGGUCAACAAGCAAUUUGAAAUCUGACCUCAAAUCAGGUAGGACUACCCGCUGAACUUAA
rnacentral:misc_RNA from 1 species